rnacentral:rRNA from 1 species
UGGAAUGUUUUUUAUCUAAAAAGCAUUGCUAAAGGAUAAGUUGGCGGUGAAUUAGGUUGUUGGUGAGGUAAAGGCUCACCAAGCCAAAAAUCCAUAGGGGCCUUGAAAGAGGUACCCCCAAGAAGGACACUGAAAUACUGGUCCUACCCCUACGGGGUGCACCACCCGCAAAACCUUUACAAUGCACGCAGGUGUGAUAAGGGACCCCCAGGUGCUCUUGCUUAGCAUGGUUUUUUGCCAAAAGUAAAUAUCUUGGCAAAUAAAUGGGGGGAAAAACUGGUGCCAGCACCCGCGGUACCACCACCGCCAUGAGUUGCAAUCAAAAUUAUUGGGCCUAAACCGUCCGUAGCCUGUUUGAUAAUUCUUUUGUGAAAUCGUUGGGCUUAACUUAACGUUGUGCAAAAAAUACUGUCAAACUCGCAACCGGUAGGAGUCGGAGGUAUUCUUGGGGGAGCGGUAAAAUGCUAUAAUCCCUAAAAAACCACCUGUGGCGAAAGCGUCCAACUAGAACGGCUUCGACGGUGAGGAACAAAAGCCAGGGGAGCGAACCGAAUUAAAUACCCGGGUAGUCCUGGCCGUAAACGCUGCAAGCAAGGUGUCCCAUAUCCUCCGUGAAUGUGCGGUGUCAAAAUGAAAAUGUUAAGCUCGCCGCCUGGGAAGUAUGGCCGCAAGGCUGACACUCAAAGGAAUUGACGG